rnacentral:rRNA from 1 species
GAUGAACGCUGGCGGCGUGCCUAAUACAUGCAAGUAGAACGCUGAAGGAGGAGCUUGCUCUUCUGGAUGAGUUGCGAACGGGUGAGUAACGCGUAGGUAACCUGCCUGGUAGCGGGGGAUAACUAUUGGAAACGAUAGCUAAUACCGCAUGACAACAGUUAUUGCAUGAUAACUGUUUAAAAGGGGCAACUGCUCCACUACCAGAUGGACCUGCGUUGUAUUAGCUAGUUGGUGAGGUAACGGCUCACCAAGGCGACGAUACAUAGCCGACCUGAGAGGGUGAUCGGCUACACUGGGACUGAGACACGGCCCAGACUCCUACGGGAGGCAGCAGUAGGGAAUCUUCGGCAAUAGACGGAAGUCUGACCGAGCAACGCCGCGUGAGUGAAGAAGGUUUUCGGAUCGUAAAGCUCUGUUGUAAGAGAAGAACGAGUGUGAGAGUGGAAAGUUCACACUGUGACGGUAUCUUACCAGAAAGGGACGGCUAACUACGUG